rnacentral:rRNA from 1 species
CGACGCUGGCGGCGUGCUUAAAACAUGCAAGUCGAACGGGUCUCGCAACUCGUCACUGGUCGCUCGUCACUCGGUGGAACCGGAAGGGGAAACGGGAAGGGAGAGAACUCCUAGCGACGAACGACGAGAGACGAGGUGCGAGAUUAGUGGCGGACGGGUGAGUAACACGUGGGUAAUCUACCCUUGAGUUCGGGACAACAGUUCGAAAGGGCUGCUAAAACCGGAUAAGCUCACGGCUUCACAUGAAGCUGGGAGAAAGGAAACGCUUGAGGAUGAGCCCGCGGCCCAUUAGCUAGUUGGUGAGGUAACGGCCCACCAAGGCGACGAUGGGUAGCCGGCCUGAGAGGGUGAACGGCCACACUGGGACUGAGACACGGCCCAGACUCCUACGGGAGGCAGCAGUUGGGAAUCUUCGGCAAUGGGCGAAAGCCUGACCGAGCAACGCCGCGUGAGGGAUGAAGGCCUUCGGGUUGUAAACCUUUGUCUAGUGGAACGAUAAUGACGGUACCACUGGAGGAAGCUACGGCCAACUACGUG